rnacentral:rRNA from 1 species
CAGCCGCACGGUAAUACCGAGGGUGCGAGCGUUAAUCGGAUUUACUGGGCGUAAAGCGUGCGUAGGCGGCUUCUUAAGUCGGAUGUGAAAUCCCUGAGCUUAACUUAGGAAUUGCAUUCGAUACUGGGAAGCUAGAGUAUGGGAGAGGAUGGUAGAAUUCCAGGUGUAGCGGUGAAAUGCGUAGAGAUCUGGAGGAAUACCGAUGGCGAAGGCAGCCAUCUGGCCUAAUACUGACGCUGAGGUACGAAAGCAUGGGGAGCAAACAGGAUUAGAUACCCGGGUAGUCCCUGUCUCUUAUACA